GGCAAACGGGUGAGUAAUACCCAGGAACGUACCUUUAGUUGAGCAUAAUCCACCGAAAGGUGGGAUAAUUCUCAAUGUGAUCGCAAGAUUAAAGUCGCAAGACGCUAAAGAAGCGGCCUGGGCACCAUCAGCUAGUUGGUAAGGUAAUGGCUUACCAAGGCUUUGACGGUUAGGGGCCCCGAGAGGGGAAACCUCCACACUGGAACUGAGACACGGUCCAGACUCCUACGGGAGGCAGCAGUUUGGAAUUUUGGACAAUGGGCGAAAGCCUGAUCCAGCGACGCCGCGUGGACGAUGAAGGCCUUCGGGUUGUAAAGUCCUUUUGUUAGGGAAGAAUAUUUUGACGGUACCUAACGAAUAAGAGGUUGCUAACUCUGUGCCAGCCGCCGCGG
rnacentral:rRNA from 1 species